rnacentral:misc_RNA from 1 species
GUGAAUCAUCAAAUCUUUGAACGCAUAUUGCACUCUCUGGUAUUCCGGAGAGUAUGCCUAUUUGAGGGUCAUUUGAUAUAAUAUAAAUUUCGAGAUGUUCUUGAAAUCAAAAAUGGGUCGGUCCAGCGUUCGUGUGGUUGUCGCCUAAAAUGCAAGACAAGCUCAUUUAUUGUGUUGCGUGAUACUUUUAGUUUCCUAGUGACAUCACAAGAAAUCUUCGC